UAACCAAUCAAGAUAGUAUACCUAGCCAAAGUUUCGACAUUGUAGUAUCUAAUAAAAAAAUAAAAUUUUCUGAUAGUACCCAUACUGACAGAUUUAUAAAAUGUAACAUAGACUCAAAUGUUAAUUCAAAUGUUGGGAAAUAUCUUUACUACAAUAUUGACGACGUGAGUACAAACAAAUACGUAAGUAAUAUCCCUAUAAACAUAAUGAAUAAAAAUGUGAUUAAAAAUGUGAUUAAAAAUAUGAACAAUAACAGGAAAACGGAAAAUUACAUAACUAGUAGUGACAUACCUAAUAACAACAUUUCAAGUAACAACAUCUCAAGUAGCAACAUCCCAAGUAACAACAUCCCAAGUAAUAACAUCUCAAGUAACAACAUUUCUAGUAACAACAUUUCUAGUAGUGUUAAUAGAAACCACGAUAUGAUAGAUAACUUAUUCACAAAAAAUAACACUACUUAUGCACAUAAUACAUCUGAUGAGUUGGACAAUACGUUGGUAAAAACAAAUAGUGUCAUAUCUAUAUAUUCAGGUUCAAAUAAUAAUAAUAAUAAUAAUAAUAAUGAUAAUAAUGAUAAUAAUAAUGAUAAUAAUAAUGAUAAGGAUAUUGAACAUGACAUAGGCCGCAACUGUAAUAAUAAUAAUUUUAUAUCCCACAGUUUUGGUUUAGAUGCAAAAAGCAAAACUAUACAAAUUCAUAAUGGCCCAAAUAAGAAUGAUGGUAAAAUUUGUAACAAUAUGGAUGUUAACAGUCAUAUAAAAAACACAUUUAUUAAAAAAAACUUCCCCAUAAUUUAUGAAAAUAUAUCAUACACAAAACAAAGUGAAACAUCCAUAUUUAAAAACAAAACUAUGCCAACAAAUGAACAUAAAAUCAAUCAUACAUACAGUGACAGAAGUGAACUAACAACAACGUCAAUUAGUUAUGUAUAUAAAAGAGAAACAGAAUUAACAACAGGAGUGAAGGAUGUGGGAGGAGUAACUCAUCCACCAGACGUAUCUACACCACUAAGCACGAUAUGUAAUGUUGUUAGGAAAAACGUAAAUAUCGAAAAUAAAAAAUAUGUUAACAACAGUAGUAACAAUAGUAUUAAUAGCAGUAAUAACAAUAAUAAUGGCAAUUAUAAUGGUAAUGAUAAAACUGGUAGUAACAAUAAAACGAAUAUAUUAGAAAAUAAUAAGGCUAAAAAGAAAUAUAUAGCGGAAAUAAUUAGAUGUGAUUUAAUAUGGGUUCCAACUAAAAAUAAAGAACCCAUUACUCCUGUAGAGAAUUGUGAACUACACCCAGUAGUCAUAAUAAAAGAUCAGUAUGGUGAUAUAUAUGAUGAUGAUGAAGAUAAUAUAAAUAACCCAGUAGGAAAAACAGUUAACAUAUUUUAUAGAUGGAGUAGAGGUCCUCCUAGAACAGUUUGUUUUUUCCAUCCACAUAAGGUAGCAGAUAUACAGUGCACUAUAACAUUUCGAUGCUUUUGUUCAUAUGAAUGUUUUAUAAGAGGAUUUGAACAUUUACAUAAGUAUUAUAAAACAAAUGGUUCUUUUAAUAUCCCAUGUCAUUUUAAUUUACACACUUAUGGUGUACCCUGUUCUCCUUUUGACUGGGAAAAUUAUGAAAACAAUCUUGAGUUUGAUGAAAAACAUUAUAACUCAUUAUUACAAUCAGGUUUAAUUAAUUUACCUAACCAAGAAAAAUGGGAGAUAAUAAACAAUGAACGAAAUUAUAUACCUAGUACAGAAGAUGUAGGACAUCAAAUUAUGUUAGAGACAAUGAUAUUAGAUAAAAACAGUUUUACUUCAGAAGAUGUAGACGAGAUAGACGAGUUGGACGAGUUGGAUGAGUUGGAUGAGGCGGAUAAGGCGGGCAAAGCGGACAAGUUGGAUAAGGCGGAUGAGACGGAAAAGUUAGAGGACGAGUUAGGGGGCAAGCCGACUGAAGUGCACAAACAAAACGAUAAUAGCAACGGUGCUAUUAAAAAUAAAGAAAGUAGUAAUAACAUGAAUAAUAAUAACAAUGAUGGGGUAAUUACUUAUAAUAAUAAUAAUAAUAAAAAUAAUGUAGAAAGUGAUCAUGUGAAUACGAUUAAUACUAAUAAUACCACAAGUGUUAAUAACAUGAAUAAAAGUACGACCCAAAUAAAUGAUCACACAAGUGCCACCACAAAUAACAUUAAUAAAACGAAUGAAAAUAAAACCUCCAUGGAUAAUACGACUUUUGUUUCUUUUAAUUCUUCUUCCCUUUCCUCCAAUGUUGAUAUGGUAAAAACUUAUGACAAUGAUGAUAUAAACUGUUUAAAUAAGAAUUGUGAUAUUUAUUUAGUUGAUCCAUGUAAUAAUAACAAAAAGAUAGAUAAUAUAUUUGGUAGCAAUGUAGGUGACUUGACUUGUAAUAAAAAUGUGAAACAAGAUAUAGAAACGGAAACAGCAACGGUAAUGGUAACAGAAACAGUGACAGAAACUGUGACAGAAACAGUGACAGAAACAGAAACAGAAACAGUGACAGAAACAGAAACAGUGGCAGUGACAGAAACAUUGACACCGCCACAGGAAGUUCAUACAAAAACACUCACUAUAAAUAAAGAUCUCGAUAAACCAAAAGAGAACACAAAUGACUUACAUGUAAACAGUCUAGAGGGCACAUCGAGUAUAACGAACGUGGGAGCGUUUGACGCAACGACUGACAUAUCUAACAAUGACAAUAAAAGCGGGAGUAACACCACAUGUANNNNNNNNNNNNNNNNNNNNNNNNNNNNNNNNNNNNNNNNNNNNNNNNNNNNNNNNNNNNNNNNNNNNNNNNNNNNNNNNNNNNNNNNNNNNNNNNNNNNAAAAUUUAUGUAUUAGAUGAUAGAAUAUGGAAUAGUAUAAAAGACCCAAAUAUUUACCAUAAAAUAAUAACAGCAUGUUGUAUACCUGAUGUUACAGUUAUACCUAAUUAUACAAUCACAGGUAUUAAAGAUUUAAGUAAUACUAAUACAAACAAUGAAUUUAGUAUAAUGACUUGGAAUGUUUUAGCAGAAAUAUAUGGAACAGUAGAAGCCUUUCCACAUUGUGAUCCAUAUAUGUUAGCUUGGUCUUAUAGAAAAACAAAAAUUAUUCAAGAAAUUAUUAAUAAUAGUCCAGACAUAGUAUGCUUACAAGAGAUACAAAACGAACACUUUGUAGAUUUCUUUAAACCAUCACUAAACAAAUUUGGAUAUGAAGGUGUUUAUAAACAAAAAUCGAAAGAAAUUUUUACGUCUCCUUAUGGUAAAAGAAGAGGUGGAAAAUAUACUAUUGAUGGAUGUGCUAUCUUUUAUAAUAAAAACAAAUUAAAAUUUGUUGAAACUUAUUCA
rnacentral:lncRNA from 1 species